rnacentral:rRNA from 1 species
CCUACGGGUGGCUGCAGUGAGGAAUAUUGGUCAAUGGGCGUAAGCCUGAACCAGCCAAGUCGCGUGAGGGAUGAAGGCUCUAUGGAUCGUAAACCUCUUUUAUAAGGGAAUAAAGUGCGGGACGUGUCCCGUUUUGUAUGUACCUUAUGAAUAAGGAUCGGCUAACUCCGUGCCAGCAGCCGCGGUAAUACGGAGGAUCCGAGCGUUAUCCGGAUUUAUUGGGUUUAAAGGGUGCGUAGGCGGCUUUUUAAGUCAGCGGUGAAAGUCUGUGGCUCAACCGUAGAAUUGCCGUUGAAACUGGAAGUCUUGAGUAUGUGAGAGGUGGGCGGAAGGCGUGGUGUAGCGGUGAAAUGCUUAGAUAUCACGAAGAACCCCGAUUGCGAAGGCAGAUCACUGGACUGUAACUGACGCUGAGGCACGAAAGCGUGGGUAUCAAACAGGAUUAGAUACCCGGGUAGUC